UACGUAGGGGGCAAGCGUUGUUCGGAAUUACUGGGCGUAAAGGGCGCGUAGGCGGCACAGCAAGUCGGGAGUGAAGGCCCGGGGCUCAACCCCGGAAUGGCUUUCGAAACUGCUGAGCUAGAGUACAGAAGGGGCAACCGGAAUUCCCAGUGUAGCGGUGAAAUGCGUAGAUAUUGGGAAGAACACCUGAGGCGAAGGCGGGUUGCUGGGCUGAUACUGACGCUGAGGCGCGAAAGCCAGGGGAGCAAACGGG
rnacentral:rRNA from 1 species